UACGGGGGGGGCAAGCGCUGUUCGGAUUUACUGGGCGUAAAGGGCGCGUAGGCGGCGUGACAAGUCACUUGUGAAAUCUCCGGGCUUAACUCGGAACGGUCAAGUGAAACUGUCGUGCUAGAGUACAGAAGGGGCAACUGGAAUUCUCGGUGUAGCGGUGAAAUGCGUAGAUAUCGAGAGGAACACCUGCGGCGAAGGCGGGUUGCUGGGCUGAUACUGACGCUGAUGCGCGAAAGCCAGGGGAGCGAACGGG
rnacentral:rRNA from 1 species